AAAUAGCAGAAGGAAGGUUCCUGGCAGUUCACUGUUUAUUUGAGGAACCCCAACACCUUUUGAGAGCUCACCAUGGCCUGGCCUCUGUCCUUCUUUGCACUUCUCACCUAUUUGUCAGGUAAGGAUGUGAAGGACUCCCCUUACAUAGGUUUCUGGGCAAACAACACCAACCACACAGUGCUUUUAUUAUAUUUGUGAGCAAAAUAAGUGAAUCGAUGUCUUCUUCUUUUUCUUUGUGCAAAAGGUGUCCUUUGUCAACAUACAAUGACUCAACUUGCCUCUGAGUCUGUGUCUCCAGGACUGAUGGCUAAACUCUCUUGUACAGCCAGCGAUAGUCACAGUGGCACCUAUAUUUUCUGGUAUCAACAGAAACCUAGGCAGGCUCCUCGCUUUGUGCAUGUUAAUGGUGGCAGCAGGGGAGAAGGGAUCCCCGAUCGAUUCACUGCUUCUGCCACCGGAACCAAUGGCUAUUUAACCAUCACCAACAUCCAGGCUGAAGAUGAAGCUGUCUAUUACUGUGCAGCUUGGUUUAACAGCUAUAACGUGUU